rfam:Aureococcus anophagefferens unplaced genomic scaffold ATRANscaffold_14, whole genome shotgun sequence.
GCUUCUUUAGCUCAGUGGCAGAGCACUACCCUCGUAAGGUAAUGGUCGAUGGUUCGAUCCCGUCAAGAAGCU